UCCCUGGUGGUCCAGUGGUUAGGACUCUUGGCACUCGCACUGCCGGGGCCCGGGGUUCGAUCCCUGGUUGGGGAA